GUCUACGACCAUUCCACCCUGAACAUGCCCUAUCUCGUCUGAUCUUGGAAGCUAAGCAGGGCCGGGCCUGGUUAGUACUUGGAUGGGAGAAAUCCCUACACUGUGGGUG
rnacentral:rRNA from 1 species